AGAUAAACCAAAUAAGAUCACAAAGCAAAGGGAA
rnacentral:guide_RNA from 1 species